AGGCGCGUGUGACGUCGGGAGGCGCCGCGGCUCCUCGGCCGCCCCACUCGGUGGUCCCCUGUCUGGAUCCAAACUGCUGACUGGCUGACCCGAGUGGUCACAUUUGCCCUCUGGGGCUUUUGAAAACCUUAAAUCAAAAUUGCUUUUGAAUCUGACAACUCCUGAGGCUACUUUCGCGGCCUCGGGGCUGUUUCAUAUAAGGACGCGAGUUUUCCUGAUCAGGUCUGUCGGCCACGUUACGAUUUCCAAUUUGCGAUCCAUCAGUUACUUCCAUUGGGUCUUCAGCCCCCAGGGACUGUGGAUCCUAGACCCCGCGGAGAAGCCCGUGGACUGGAGCUGUGUCAGCUCUGAUGGAACAAAAACGGAGGCACAGAGAGGUCAAUUGAUUGGUCUAAUGACACAGAUCUAGCAAGUGGUGGAACCAGGACUGAAUCCAGGUGUGUGUCCGGAAUUGGUGGGUUCUUGGUCUCACUGACUUCAAGAAUGAAGCCGCGGACCCUUGCGGAACUGUGAAGACUAGAGUGACCUUGGAGAUCUCAUCUGGAAGAUGGUAGAACUGCUAUCAGCCUGGCUUCCCAAAUGACCUCCUGGAUCACAGCUACCCAUGGCCUGAAAUGUUGACCUUGGAGUUGUUGCAUAGGAAAGAAAUAAACUUCUUUGUUCUUUGAGCCACAUAGUUAUCACAUAUCUUCUUAAAGCCACUUACCCACUUGUUCUAUCUCAUUCAGCUCUGAAAUUCUGUUUAAUUUCUAGAGUCAAAACAUUCAUUUGUUUCUUCUUUAUUUAACAAGAAUCAAUUACUUAUUUUAUGGAAGCCACUAUUCCAAAGAGAAGAAUCAUAAAAACAUUAGCCUUAUGGAUCUUUUGUCCUGGGAACAACACAGAGUGGAGACUACUGGAAUUUUUAAUAAAGUUCCUUUCCUGGGCAGUGCCAGUCCAGACCUAAUUUCCAGACUUAGUUAAGAUUAGACCAGUGUGCUGAAGAAUCAAAACAUCUAGAUAUUUUCCUUGCUCCAUUCUGCUUACAGCCCCACAAAAACUACUCACCCCACAGGGUUUCUUGCUUGAGAUUCCAGACAAUUCCUGUAUGUUUUAUUAGAAUACACUCUGUGUUUCAUCCAACUAGGAAGCCUUUGGCUCCGACUUAAAGCAUUAAGAACGGACCACUUUGGUAUGGAAAAUUAUCAGUUUUGGGGGAAAAGCCCCUGUUUCUCUGAUCUGUGCUCUGAAUUUGGCAGCUUUGUAGGCUUUCUCAAAGAGCCGCAACUGUGAACCAUGUCAUGUUGUCAUUAUCUCUGAUAUGCUCUGUGCAUUGGAAAUCCUGUGUGAGACUGGCAGGGGACAGAGGGAAUGAAGAAAUCACAUUCAUCAGAACAAGCUGCUCAACUUCCUUAAGUAAGGAGUUUGUCUAACAUCCAGUGGUUUCCUCUGACAGAGUGUGUACUUUCUUAACAUACGGACAAGAUUAGUACAUAGCCAGAAUGACUGUCUGCAGGUCCUAGGCUGCUUUUCAGAGGCAGCUUUAAUCUUCCUAAUUGAAUAUUUAGCUUUUCUAGGCCUGCACAAAAUGUAAAUCACAAUGUUUACAAUCUGUGAAAUAAUAGGAGAGUACAUAAUGUCAUUGCAAUAUUUUGUAAUCACUGUUAAAUGACUAAAAUCUAUUAAACUCAAUCAUUUUAAAUUAA
rnacentral:lncRNA from 1 species